UCCGUGAACGUGUGAAUAUUUUGGAUGAAUUAAGAGACGAAGAAAUCAUCGCACGAUACAGACUGAGCAGAGAAGCGAUUACGUACCUGAAUGAAACAUUGAGGGUAGAUUUAGAACCGAAGACAAAAAGAUCAAACUCACUCUCAUCUCUUACUCAGGUACAGACUAAAUUAUUUUACGGGUGCAUGUAAAGAAAUGUUCACUGCAUUGUAACCAAUUGAACUGUUGGGAAUCGUCUUUGAUAAACAUGCGUUUUGUAGAUAUGGAUCAAUUUGUGUUUGUAAACAAAAUAAAGUUUAGCUAAAGAAACUUCAGCGUACAGUUUACAUAGUAUUGACAGGCCUGUAUAAAGUCGCGCCAGUCAAAAAUCAUAAAAAGCGACAUUUAAAGUUAUGGUAGCCAGAACUAAAUAAAGUUAUGUUAAGUAUCAUCAAACGAUCCGGCAAAAAUGUUCAUUAUCUAGCGCCAAGUAACAAAAAUGCUCUUUAUGUGUUGCAUCUCAUACAGGUACUGUUGUGGGUUAUGCAUAUAUAUUAUGUCUAUAAACGGCAUAAAGACAUGAACUAUUUAACUGUGUUAUUCGGACGGUGUCAAACUCGGAUUCUAGCGAUACUAUUUGAAUAUUUCUUGGCAAAGGUUCUAAUCGGGCUUCGGUUCUUGAGCAAGGGUGAUUUUUUUUCUGAGGUUGCAGAUAUUCAUGGUGUCAGUAAGCCUACAGCAGCUCGAUGCUUCCAUGUUUUCAUUGAUAGCCUGAAUCGUCGUCUACAUAAUAUCAGAUUCCCAACUGAAAAUGGCGCUAUGGCACUCUCAAAACAAGACUUCUACAGGCGGUGUAGGAUUCCAAACGUUCUCGGUGCUGUUGAUGGGACUUUGGUUCCAAUUCUAGGCCCUUCCGAAAAUGAAGAGGCAUAUAUUUGUAGAAAGGGGUUUCACGCCAUCAAUGUGCAAGCUGUUUGU